UUUUCUUUUGUAUUUCAAGUACCUAUUCACUCUUCACCCCAUAUGCUUCUGUGGAGUUAGUUUUGUAGAGUGUUCUCUUUUUUUUCCCCAGCAUUGGAAUUCGAACUCAAGGCCUUGAGCUUGCAAGACACUCGCUGAGCUACUGAGCUAAAGCUCUGGCCCUCUGGAUUGUUCUUUUUCAACAGUGAGGCACAUCUAGGAAGAAGGUUGAGAAGAAAGAUUCGCAGUUAACAGGUGCUGGGUUUGGGAAAGUCAGAACCAGCUCAACUGUGGUGAGAGAUUCAGGAGAUGGGUCCAAAAUCUGUUGCUGACAGACAGAAGCUGGUCUGUUAAACUCACUGCAUAUACAUCUCACCCAGGAAACAGAGUUUCUAUAGUGGCUGAAGGUUUGAUCGGGGACCCAUGAAGAUGUUAAUAUGGAAAGAACUUACAAUAGAGAUAUUUGUGCUUGGG
rnacentral:lncRNA from 1 species